CCACAAAAAAUCCCCCAGAAGUGGGGCUAUGGCUCUAGUGGUGCUGAACUAGUCUUGAGCAGCAAAAAGGCUCAGGGACAGAACACAGGUCCUGGGUUUAAGCCCAGAAUCACCUUUCCCCUAACAAAUGAAAUAGCAUCAAACACUUUCAGGCUUAAGAAGGUAGAGGAAAAGCUGUGGCACCUGCAACCUGUUUCAAAAAAGAGUUUACGGUGGAGAGAACAACAUAUUACACAAUCUAUAUUG